UACUUCCCUCCGUAUACUUCCGGAAAAUUUGCAUAAAACUAGCAAGUGAGCUUUGUUGUCUGUACUACUUUCAAGAUUUCAAGCUAGGAUUUAGCAAAUAAAAGUGCAAUUUUCAAGUUUUGUGUUGUCUUUUAAAAGACAAAUGGAGAGACUCCUUCAAAUACUGAGUUUUGAGACUUGUCAAAUAGAUGGCGUUGGCGUGUUUAUCGUGUCAGUUACGGGCUUAUGGCGGUUUGCUGUCAAAAGUUAAGCUAUCGUGAAUUCAUAGGAGGAAACGUGAAAGGGUCCUGGCCGUCGUGCAGCCUACUGUCAACUAUUUUGUUUAAAUUCAUUGUGCCAUCGAAAUGGUUCAGGAUUCAUCAUAAUUAUUUGUUGUUUGUAUCAUUGGACUUGCUAGAUCACCAAC